AUAAAUAAAGGCUACCACUUGCACGCCAGAAAUAACUACCCUCUUCGUCAAUUGAGUUAAUUUCAUGGUGGUUGGCGUUUAAGGCAAUGUUCCAUUUCCUCAUUUUUCUUCUUUCUUCUUCCUCUUCGUCUUUUUCUUCUUAUUCCCAUACAACAACGUAUCAUCCUGAUGACGUCUUUAAUCCUUUGGUCAGAAUCAGUACUGACCAGGUCAACUGAAGUUGUUGGCUUCUGAGCCAAUGUCAUCACCUUUGCUGGGAACGUAGGACCUAUGCUUCAAAAACGUAUGGCCAGGAGCUAACUCUGCCUCACCCUCAUGUGUGUGUGUAUAUAUAUAUAUAUGAUUCAUUAGCAUGGGCUAUCAGACAUGGAGUCACUGACUUCUUCUUCUUCCACACUUUCAGAGCCACAGGCCAAAAGCCAUGAAAACUCCCUUCUUUAAUUCAUGGCUCUUCUUGGUGCCCAGGUGCACUCUUUUCCUCAACUUCUCUACUGUCUUUGUGGUGUCCGGCCAAUGUAUGGGCAAUCAGCAGUCCUUGUUGCUCCAAUUUAAGCACUGAUUAUAGUUAUGAGGGGCAACAUCUCCAGGAUUGUCAUGAUAAAUUCUUGCUUUUUUAGUUUCAAUAUAAAUCAAAAUGACAAAAUGGAUGUACUUGGAUGCCAGCGUUUUCUUAAGUUGCAGAUAUAUGUUGCUCCAAGAGCUUACUUUGGAGGAAGUUUGCUGAAGUGGCAGUUAUGCUUAUUUGCUGAUAUACACGCUUCAUAAUUCACAGUACUUUUGUGUUGCUGUUAAUCAAGAUGAUUACCAGUAUACCUCUUCAUAUAUAGACAUGAACCUCUUUUAAUUCUAAUUAUUUUUCCUAUUUUAGUGCUUUAUUUUAGUGUUGCUUGUCCUUGGAAAGCAUAUGAGGAUGAAUCAUAUGCUUUAUUCCUAUGUAUGACAGUAUGAAUGAAAAUGGUUUCUGGCUCCA